AAUUAAUUAAAAUAAUUCAGGAAGGGGGAGGUAAAUCUUAAAAUUAUCGUCUCUGUUCAGCAGGAGGAGAAAGGGGCCGGAGAGGACUAUGCGGCGAGGGUUAGUAUGUCCCUUUGGGCUUUUGUUGACUCGUGGCGCCCUUCUUUUCUCCUGAAGGCAGAGUGAAACACACAAUGAGUAAUCGAUCCGGUGAGAGUGGCUACCUGUUACUUGGGUCCAUACGACUGGCUGAUAAAUGACUUGUUCCUCCGAUCUCUUCGUACAGGGUGCUCGGGCGGCGCCUCCCCUUCUGCACACUCCGAGGUGAGCGCCAACCCGCGACACAGAACUCCAAUGGCACUGCAAGAGAGAGGUCACUCAAACUGCGGGGGACAACACAGGUAGGUACUUCACAGGCAACUGGGGCUCUAUUCUCACUUUAGUGAUUCGUAGCAAUGGACAAAGGUAAGUAUUCCACAGGCAACUGGGGCUCUAUUCUCACUUUAGUGAUUCGUAGCAAUGGACAAAGGUAAGUAUUUCACAGGCAACUGGGGCUCUAUUCUCACUUUAGUGAUUCGCAGCAAUGGGCAAAGGUAAGUAUUCCACAGGCAACUGGGGCUCUAUUCUCACUUUAGUGAUUCGUAGCAAUGGACAAAGGUAAGUAUUCCACAGGCAACUGGGGCUCUAUUCUCACUUUAGUGAUUCGUAGCAAUGGACAAAGGUAAGUAUUUCACAGGCAACUGGGGCUCUAUUCUCACUUUAGUGAUUCGUAGCAAUGGACAAAGGUAGGUAUUUCACAGGCAACUGGGGCUCUAUUCUCACUUUAGUGAUUCGUAGCAAUGGACAAAGGUAAGUAUUUCACAGGCAACUGGGGCUCUAUUCUCACUUUAGUGAUUCGCAGCAAUGGACAAAGGUAAGUAUUCCACAGGCAACUGGGGCUCUAUUCUCCUAGAAUACUUCUCCUGGGCGGUGGGCUUACGGUGAAAUACUGCGAUACAGUAAGUAGAUGAACUGUCAGACCUGGAGUAGUAAAUCGUCGUAGCGCAGUCCUCCACAGGG